UACGAAGGGGGCUAGCGUUGCUCGGAAUCACUGGGCGUAAAGCGCGUGUAGGCGGCUUUGCAAGUCGGGUGUGAAAGCCCUCAGCUCAACUGAGGAAGUGCGCCCAAAACUACAGGGCUUGAGUACCGGAGAGGGUGGCGGAAUUCCCGGUGUAGAGGUGAAAUUCGUAGAUAUCGGGAGGAACACCAGUGGCGAAGGCGGCCACCUGGACGGAUACUGACGCUGAGGCACGAAAGUGUGGGGAUCAAACAGG
rnacentral:rRNA from 1 species